rnacentral:misc_RNA from 1 species
AAGUCGUAACAAGGUCUCCGUUGGUGAACCAGCGGAGGGAUCAUUAUCGAGUUACCGCUCUACAACCCUUUGUGAACAUACCUAACUGUUGCUUCGGCGGGCAGGGGGUCCCCCCGGGGACGCCCUCCCGGCCCCGCCCCCCUACCAGGGGACGUGGCGCCCGCCGGAGGAUACCCAACUCUAUUUUAACGACGUUUCUUCUGAGUGGCACAAGCAAAUAAUUAAAACUUUUAACAACGGAUCUCUUGGUUCUG